rnacentral:lncRNA from 1 species
AUUAGCGGUUCUCAUCAUAUGUGAGUAGAGCGCUUAGCGUGGGACGCUAUUAUAGCCUGGGAGGCAACCGAUCGGUAUAUAUAUAUUUAUUGUUAGCUAGCCAUUAUUUAGCGGUCCUCAUCAUAUGAGAGUUGAGCGCUUAGCGUGGGACGCUAUUAUAACUUUUUAAGCGGUCCUCAUCAUAUGUGAGUAAAGCGCUUAGCGUGGGACGCUAUUAUAGCCUAGGAGGCUCAUUGUUUUGGUGAAACAUCUUCCCUAUUUUUAUUGAUUUAUUGGGAACCAAUGGGAUUGGUUCAUUAGUUUUGUCUAUAAUUAUUUUCGGAAAGAUUUCCAAGAAUGGCAUGCAUAAAAUAAAUAUUUUCUCAAUGGAAAAUAUGGGAAAAGCGUUAAAUUGAUUUCAAUGCUCUAUCAUUAAGUCCGUAUUUUUAUUAUUUAUUUUUGUCCACUCACUCUAACGUUUUAAAUGCUUUCCCUUGGGCCUUUCGUUUUAAAUGCCCAGUCUGCAGAGUUCUGU